rnacentral:rRNA from 1 species
UACGUAGGGACCUAGCGUUGUCCGGAAUCAUUGGGCGUAAAGCGCGCGUAGGCGGCCCGGUAAGUCCGUUGUAAAAGUCGAAGGCUCAACCUUCGAAAGCCGAUGGAUACUGCCGGGCUAGAGUCCGGGAGAGGCGAGUAGAAUUCCUGGUGUAGCGGUGGAAUGCGCAGAUAUCAGGAGGAAUACCCAUAGCGAAGGCAGCUCGCUGGGACGGUACUGACGCUGAGGCGCGAAAGCGUGGGGAGCGAACAGG